rnacentral:snoRNA from 1 species
AUGCACGGAGCCUACCCCGGGCACUUCGGAGGUAUCCGCUGAGGAAGGAAGCCCCAAUGCCCGUGCGACAUUGAUUCGCCGUUCUGUGUUGCAGGUCACGACUCUCUCUCGAGUGACUGAUCUGUGUCAAUGUUACGGCUAUAUUU